AUUUAAAAAUAAAAAUAAGAUAUUUUUAUUUUUAAUAUUUUCAAAAAUAAAAAAUUCAUGCUAUACUAUUGCUUGCGCCUCCAUCAUCAUUAUCACCAUUACCUUCACAAUACAAUCAUCAACCCUACAAUCAUUGUUACCAUCAAUUUUUUUCAUGGUUAUCGUACCACCUCUACCAUGCCAUGAUCCCUCCCCCUCCAAUCAACACCACCGUUGCUAUUUUUGUUGAUACCACCAU
rnacentral:lncRNA from 1 species